GUCUAUGGCCGUACCACCCUAAAAGUGCCUGAUCUUUUCUGAUCUUAGAAACUAAGCAGGCUUGAGUCUGGUCAGUACUUGGAUGGGAGAUACCUAUUUCAUACAUC
rfam:Macaca mulatta chromosome 2, whole genome shotgun sequence.